rnacentral:rRNA from 1 species
GACGGAGGAUGCAAGCGUUAUCCGGAAUCACUGGGCGUAAAGCGUCUGUAGGUGGUCAAAUAAGUCAACUGUUAAAUCUUGAGGCUCAACCUCAAAAUCGCAGUCGAAACUAUUCGACUAGAGUAUAGUAGGGGUAAAGGGAAUUUCCAGUGGAGCGGUGAAAUGCGUAGAGAUUGGAAAGAACACCGAUGGCGAAGGCACUUUACUGGGCUAUUACUAACACUGAGAGACGAAAGCUAGGGUAGCAAAUGGG